rnacentral:rRNA from 1 species
GUGCCAGCCGCCGCGGUAAUACCGGCAGCACGAGUGAUGACCGCUAUUAUUGGGCCUAAAGCGUCCGUAGCUGGCCGUGCAAGUCCAUCGGGAAAUCCGCGCGCUUAACGCGCGGGCGUCCGGUGGAAACUGUAUGGCUUGGGACCGGAAGAUCCAGAGGGUACGUCCGGGGUAGGAGUGAAAUCCCGUAAUCCUGGACGGACCACCGGUGGCGAAAGCGCUCUGGAAAGACGGAUCCGACGGUGAGGGACGAAAGCUCGGGUCACGAACCGGAUUAGAUACCCUGGUAGUCC